rnacentral:tRNA from 1 species
CCCCUUGUGGUGUAGAUGGCUAUCACAGUGGACUGUAAGCGACGCAUUGUAAUCCAUUGGUCCGCGGUUCGAGUCCGCGCGAGGGGA